rnacentral:tRNA from 1 species
GAUUUACAAGGUUUUAAAAUGGUAGGCUAUCUGCCUUCUAAGCAGUAGGUCGAAGGUUCGAAUCCUUCUUAGAUCA